UAGGGGGCAAGCGUUGUCCGGAAUGAUUGGGCGUAAAGGGCGCGUAGGCGGCCUGGUAAGUCUGGAGUGAAAGUCCUGCUUUUAAGGUGGGAAUUGCUUUGGAUACUGCUGGGCUUGAGUGCAGGAGAGGUAAGUGGAAUUCCCAGUGUAGCGGUGAAAUGCGUAGAGAUUGGGAGGAACACCAGUGGCGAAGGCGACUUACUGGACUGUAACUGACGCUGAGGCGCGAAAGUGUGGGGAGCAAA
rnacentral:rRNA from 1 species